GGCUCUAUAGUGUAGUGGUUAGCACAUCUGCCCUACACAGAGAAGGCCCUGGGUUUGUGCUCCAGAUGGAGCCA
rnacentral:tRNA from 1 species